rnacentral:lncRNA from 1 species
AACGUUCACAAAAACCAAAUCCGGAACAACAUUAAACUACUCAGUUACGCCCUAACAGUAUAACUUUGCAACGAGUACUUUUUCUCAUUCAAUCGAACAAAGUGUAAAAGCUAAUUAUAUUGUUCUAUUAUGCCCCGAGAGUGUAAAUUUGGAACGAAUCGAUGUCAACGUUCACAAGAACCAAAAUCGGAACAACAUUAGACUACUCAGUUGUGCCCUAACAGUAUAACUUUGCAACGAGUACUUUUUCUCAUUCUAUCGAACAAAGAGUAAAACCUAUUUAUAUUGUUCUAUUAUGCCCCGAGAGUGUAAAUAUAAAACGAAUCGAUGUCAACAUUCACAAGAACCAAAACCGGAACAACAUUAGACUCCUCAAUUGUGCCCUAACAGUAUAAAUUUGCAACGAGUACUUUUUCUCAUUCUAUCGAAUAAAGAGUAAAACCUAAUUAUAUUGUUCUAUUAUGCCUUGAGAGAGUAAAUUUGAAACGAAUCGAUGUCAACGUUCACAAGAACCAAAAUCGGAACAAUAUCAGUUGCGUCUUAACAAUAUAACUUUGCAACCAGUACUUUUUCUCAUUCGAUCAAACAAAGUGUAAAAGCUAAUUAUAUUGUUCUGUUAUGCCCCGAGAGUGUAAAUUUGGAACGAAUCGAUGUCAACCUUCACAAGAACCAAAAUCGGAACAACAUUAGACUACUCAGUUGCGCCCUAACAGUAACUUUUGCAAUGAAUACUUUUUCUCAUUCUAUCGAACAAAUAGUAAAACCUAAUUAUAUUGUUCUAUUAUGCCCCGAGAGAGUAAAUUUGGAACGAAUCGAUGUCAAUGUUCACAAGAAUCAAAAUCGGAACAACAUUUGACUACUCAGUUGCGC